AACGAACGCUGGCGGCAUGCCUAACACAUGCAAGUCGAACGAGACCUUCGGGUCUAGUGGCGCACGGGUGCGUAACGCGUGGGAACCUGCCCUUAGGUUCGGAAUAACUCCCCGAAAGGGGUGCUAAUACCGGAUAAUGUCUUCGGACCAAAGAUUUAUCGCCCUUGGAUGGGCCCGCGUUGGAUUAGCUAGUUGGUAGGGUAAAAGCCUACCAAGGCGACGAUCCAUAGCUGGUCUGAGAGGAUGAUCAGCCACACUGGGACUGAGACACGGCCCAGACUCCUACGGGUGGCAGCAGGGGGGAAUAUGGAACGAUGGGCGAAAGCCUGAGCCAGCAAUGCCGCAUGAGUGAUGAAGGCCGUAGGGUUGUAAGGCUCUUUUACCCGGGAUGAUAAGGCCGUAACCGGGAGAAUAGGCUCCGCCAACCUCGUU
rnacentral:rRNA from 1 species